rnacentral:rRNA from 1 species
UUGGAGGGCAAGUCUGGUGCCAGCAGCCGCGGUAAUUCCAGCUCCAAUAGCGUAUAUUAAAGUUGUUGCAGUUAAAAAGCUCGUAGUUGAAUUUCGGGAUUAGUACGUUGGUCGUGCCUUCGGUACGUACUGGUGUUACUGAUUCCUACCUUCUGACGAACCAUCAUGUCAUUAAUUUGGUGUGGCGGGGAAUCAGGACUGUUACUUUGAAAAAAUUAGAGUGUUUAAAGCAGGCUCGCGCUUGAAUACAUUAGCAUGGAAUAAUGAAAUAGGACGUUGACCCUAUUUUGUUGGUUUCUAGGAUUGACGUAAUGAUUAAUAGGGAUAGUUGGGGGCAUUAGUAUUCAAUUGUCAGAGGUGAAAUACUUGGAUUUAUUGAAGACUAACUACUGCGAAAGCAUUUGCCAAGGAUGUUUUCAUUAAUCAAGAACGAAAGUUAGGGGAUCGAAGACGAUCAGAUACCGUCGUAGUCUUAACCAUAAACUAUGCCGACUAGGGAUCGGAUGAUGUUAUUUUUAAUGACUCAUUCGGCGCCUUACGGGAAAC